CAGUCUACCAAGCAAUGACUUUUAGUUUGCUUUCCCGAACUAAGUGAGCUACUUUAAAAUAGCCCAAGAGCCAACCCGUCUCUGUUGCAAAAGAGUGGGAAAAUUUUUAAGUAGGGGUGAUAUACCUAUCGAACUUAGAGAUAGCUGGUUUUUUAAGAAAAGGAUUUCAGUUCUAUUUUAAACUUUUAUGUUAAUCAAAAAUAUACUUGAGUUUAAAAGUUAUUCAAAUAAGGCACAGCUUAUUUGAGACAGGGUACAACCUAAAGCCCAGGGUACGACAAACAAAUUUUGAUAAGUGGGCCUAAAAGCAGCCAUCUUUCAGAAAGCGUCAAAGCUUAGUGACACUAUUUAUUUAAUAACUACACUUACUUCUAACCCUCACCCGCUAUUAAAAAACCCCAUAAAACUAUGGGAGCUAUUAUGCUAGAACAAGUAACAAGAAAUAGAUUUUCUCCAAAAUGUAAGCUUAAGCCAUAAUAGACACCCUAAUGGCAAUUAACACUUAUAAAUUUAUUGUAACAACCUCAACAAGACAACUUUACAUUUUAUAACGUCAACCUUACACCCACAUUAGUGGAAAGAUUAAAAGAGUGGGAAGGAACUCGGCAAAUAUCGAUCCCGCCUGUUUAUUAAAAAAAAAUGGAAAAUUG
rnacentral:rRNA from 1 species